AUGGAUGUGGAGAUUAUUGUGGACUGGAGGAAAAGUAACAAGGGAGAGAAUGUGACCAUCCCAAUCACCUGCAUGGAUUGUUUCUGCUGACAAGGAUUGUUGCCACAGGUAGGUGUUACAGGAGAUAGAAUUCUGAGCCUGGAGUCAGGAAGACCGGACUGCAAAUCUAGCCUCAGACACCUGAAAAUUACAGCACCUGCCUGGCAAGGUUAUCGUGAGGAUCAAAUGAGAUGACAUUUGUGAAGUGCUUAACCCAGUGCUUGGCACAUAGUAGGCACUAUAUAAACGCUCAUUCCCUAUCUCUGUAUUAAUGCUGAACACCGGGAUAUAUAGAGCAGGCACAAAAGAAGUAUUUGUUGAAUCUCAGUCCUGGAAAACUGAUAGACAACACACUUUCUUCCUUUCAUUAGAGAAAAGGGUACUAUAAACCAUGGUAUUCAACGAUUUGAUUAAUUCAAAUGUUUGUUUUUGUCACAAGGAAAGGUUGAAGAGUUAUGUUAAGGGUGAAAUAACUGGUGUAUAAACCAGCAGCAACAACAGAACUACUUUUAAAAAGUAAAUAUUGGUUGAACUGAAAAUAAUGAUAAUAAAAAACAUCCACAUUC